rnacentral:misc_RNA from 1 species
GCCCAAAGCAAUGAAGGCCGGCGGCGCCCAGCUACACAGCCAGAUCACAACAAUUAACACUACUAGUUGUGACAAGUCAACAAAGAAAUCUAAAAAAUUGUGUGCCCCACUAACCUCUUUGUUACUUUCUCCAAAUCUCUCUCUUCUCCGAUCAUCUCCCAUCGGAAUCUACUGAAUCGUCGAUGGACGACUACUUGAAUUUAUUUGUAGAGGAGACGUCGUUUUUUAAUAGGAUUGUUCUGGGCACAUUCUUGCCGGAAUCAUGGUGGGGACCACUCCCUCAUUGGUUUCAAGGAUGGCUUCGCAACUACAUCGGUGGAGUCUUGCUCUACUUUAUCUCUGGGUUUCUUUGGUGCUUCUACAUCUACUACUUAAAACGCAAUGUUUAUCUACCUAAAGAUGCCAUCCCUUCAAAUAGAGCUAUGCUCUUGCAAAUAGGAGUUGCAAUGAAAGCUAUGCCAUGGUACUGUGCCCUUCCAUCACUUUCUGAGUACAUGAUUGAAAAUG